rnacentral:lncRNA from 1 species
GCCCGGCCAAUAAUUUUUUUUUUUUUUAAAGAGAAAUACACAUAUGUAGAAAAAGACCAGAAGGAAAUGUUGGCAGCGCUCGACUCUUGGUGGUGAAAUUACAGAUCUUUAUUUAAUUUUUCUUCUUUGUGCUUUUGUGUAUCUCCUACAUUUUCCACAAUGCACAUAGCACUUUUACAAUCAGGGAGUAACAACAAAAAAUGCAAUGUAAAUCCUGAGAGGAGCUAUCACCUGCAUUUGGGCUCUUCCGGGGAUGGUCCAGGGGAAGUGGAUUUUAGCACAGCCUGGAAGGUUGGGAGAAUGUGAACUAGGGAGAGGAGCCAGGUAAAGCCUUUUUUGUUCCUUGGUUUUUGUCUGUCUCCUCUAGACUACGGGUUCCUUGAGGGCAGGAUCUGUGGUCUGGCUUGUUCACUGCUGUAUCCCUAGCAUCUUACAAAACAAAAGCCUGGUGCUUAGUAGGUGAUCAAUAAAUACAAAUCUAGUUAAUGAAUACAUGACCUUGACAGCUCUGCUUAGCCUAGGAGACAAGGAUAUUCUCAGUUCGCUGUCCAGCUGGUCUGCUGCCAAAACUGAGGUGCAUGGUUUCCAUGGCAACAGAAGAGGGCCCGACAGGCCAGCAGCAGGAGGCAGAUGCAGGGAUUGUGAGCUCUGCAUGUUUUCAAGGUGUGGCCUAGAAAUCCGGAACAUGGCGGUGGGUUCUUUCAAUAGAUGUUGAGAGAAAAAAAGCUUCAUAAAUACGGCUAACUCAGUUGUUCACCAGGCAGGUUUCUAAGUCAAUUAAUGAAAACUCGGGCAAGUAGUCGAGGUCUUUAAAGGUGACAUGGGAGGCUCUUAGUGUUUGAAAGUCUAGGAACUCAGGAAAGUUUGGUUUUAGUCUGGAUCCUGACUAAGGGUGUGACCCUGGGCAAGUUACUUAACCUCUCUGGGCCUCAGCAUGCUCAUUCAUAAAAUGAGAGGUUUGACCAGCACUAAAAUUAUUUAUAAAAACAUGUGUGGUAGGAAUGCAAAAUGGUACAGUCACUGUGGAAGAGUUUGGUGGUUCCUCAGUAAGUUAUACAUAGAACCAUCAUAUGACCCAGCAAUUCCACUCCUAGGUAUACACCCAAGAGAACUGAAGAUAGGCACUCAAAUACAUACUUGUGCACAAAUGUUCAUAGUUGCACUAUCCAUAAUAACCAAAAGGCCACCAAUGGAUGAAUGGAUAAAGGUAGUAUAUCCAUACAAUGGUGUAUCAUUCAGCCAGUCAUAAAAAGGAACAAAGUAUUUAUACAUGCUACAACAUGAAUGAACCUUGAAAACAUUACGUUAAGUGAAACAAGCCAGACUCAAAAGGUCACAUACAGUAUUGUAUAAUUCCAACUAAAUAAAAUAUCCAGCAGCUCUCUCAAAAAUAAAACGUGCCAGUUCCCAAAAUCCG